rfam:Triticum urartu cultivar G1812 contig735616, whole genome shotgun sequence.
UAUGUACUCCCUCUGUCCGAAAAAGUUUGUUCCACAAAUGAAUGUAUCUAGCACCAAGUUAGCGCUUGAUACAUCUAUUUGAGGGACAAUCUUGGGACAAGCUUUUUCAGACGAAGAGAGUAUUAG